GGCCCGGUGGCUUAGUGGUUAGCACAUUUGCCUCACAACUCCAGGGUAUGGGGUUCCAUUCCCGCCGGGGCCA